rnacentral:rRNA from 1 species
AGUAACGCGUGAGGAACCUGCCUUUCAGAGGGGGACAACAGUUGGAAACGACUGCUAAUACCGCAUAAUACGCGGGUGUCGCAUGGCAUCUGCGUCAAAGAUUUAUCGCUGAGAGAUGGCCUCGCGUCUGAUUAGCUAGUUGGUGAGGUAACGGCCCACCAAGGCGACGAUCAGUAGCCGGACUGAGAGGUUGGCCGGCCACAUUGGGACUGAGAUACGGCCCAGACUCCUACGGGAGGCAGCAG